CAUAACCGUCGCAGAACCGACCAGUGCGCGGCGCCUCUCCCACCGUGACUCGCGACGCCAGCAGCACCUCCCACCCCCUCCUAUCAUCUCCCUAUCCCUACCCAGCGGACGACCAUGCACGCCCUUGAUCCGGAUGGCACCGCCGAGCCCAUGGUUCUCCUCCCCAGGUCACCGGAUGCAGCCAAGAUCCGUCCCGUCCUCCCACAUCGGCAACCAUGGUAGUCCUCUGCACCCAAGCUUUGCCCAUAAGCUCCAUGUGCAUUAGCAGAUUUCAGACGGCGAUUUGGAUCGAGCAAGCCACGGGACUUGCCGGCAACACCCAGUCUUUGAUCUGGUUUGUUCUUCGUCUCAGACGUUCUGGUGUACCAAAUCCAUCUGCACUGCAUACAUUGGGAUUGAAACGAUGCCAUGAUAGUGGGCAUUCACGCUUCAGAUUUCUUAACUCAGCAUCAUUGGAUCGAAGAUGGUUAGGAGGUUGAAGAUAUGUCGCGUGAAAGGCGUGGGGAGGCAAGGACGGGACACGCAGGACGCUGCAGUGGAGGACGAACACCACAGCAAGGUACGGUGGUGAUGAAGUUUUAAAAUGGUCCAUUGCCCAACAAGGGCAUCCUAAUUUCUUACUGGAAUAUACUGUAACAAUAUGAUAUCGAAAUUUCAAAUGGUUGUAUAUUUGACCCAUACUAUGAUAGACCAAGGCCUGCGUGGACAUGUUGUUCACAUACUAUAAUUCAUUUACA